UACGUAGGCAGCAAGCGUUGUUCGGAAUUACUGGGCGUAAAGAGUGUGUAGGCGGUGCUCUAAGUUUGGUGUGAAAUCUCCCGGCUCAACUGGGAGGGUGCGCCGAAAACUGGAAUGCUUGAACAUGGGAGAGGAAAGCGGAAUUCCUGGUGUAGCGGUGAAAUGCGUAGAUAUCAGGAGGAACACCUGCGGUGUAGACGGCUUUCUGGACCAUUGCUGACGCUGAGGCGCGAAAGCUAGGGGAGCAAACAGG
rnacentral:rRNA from 1 species